AAGGUGGUAGAAAGAAAGAGGCUUUCUUGAAGAUCCGGAGGUUUGUUCCAGCCAGAAGUUGCUGAAUGAGAAAGAAAGGCUGUUGGAAAAGUUCUAGCCUUCAAGAACACUACCCUUGGGGUGCAGGUUGGAGAAAGAGAGGAAGGAGCUUGCUACAGUAAAUGUCGUCUUCGUCGUUCUUGCUGUGUGUUACGUUGAACGUGAUCCAGUAUGCAUAGACACUGUCAAAUUCCUAAAUCUGUCUUCAGCAGCCAGGAAGCAGUUAUAUAUGGAAACUUGAGCUAUUCUUUCAAAAAUGGCAGAGGAUUGUCUGCAGUGGGAAAACUGAUCUGAGAGAGUUCCUGGAGAGCUUGUUU